rnacentral:rRNA from 1 species
AACGAACGCUGGCGGCAUGCCUAACACAUGCAAGUCGAACGAAGCCUUCGGGCUUAGUGGCGCACGGGUGCGUAACGCGUGGGAAUCUGCCCUUGGGUUCGGAAUAACAGUUAGAAAUGACUGCUAAUACCGGAUGAUGUCUUCGGACCAAAGAUUUAUCGCCCAAGGAUGAGCCCGCGUAGGAUUAGGUAGUUGGUGGGGUAAUGGCCCACCAAGCCGACGAUCCUUAGCUGGUCUGAGAGGAUGAUCAGCCACACUGGGACUGAGACACGGCCCAGACUCCUACGAGAGGCAGCAGUGGGGAAUAUUUGACAAUGGGCGAAAGCCUGAUCCAGCAAUGCCGCGUGAGUGAUGAAGGCCUUAGGGUUGUAAAGCUCUUUUACCAGGGAUGAUAAUGACAGUACCUGGAGAAUAAGCUCCGGCUAACUCCGUGCCAGCCGCCGCAGUAACAC